AACGAACGCUGGCGGCAGGCUUAACACAUGCAAGUCGAGCGCAUCCUUCGGCACCUAGUGGCGGACGGGUGAGUAACGCGUGAGAAUCUGACUUGAGGACGGGGACAACCACUGGAAACGGUGGCUAAGACCCGAUAUGCCGAGAGGUGAAAGUAACUUAGCCUUAAGAGGAGCUCGCGUCUGAUUAGCUAGUUGGUGGGGUAAGAGCCCACCAAGGCGACGAUCAGUAGCUGGUCUGAGAGGAUGACCAGCCACACUGGGACUGAGACACGGCCCAGACUCCUACGGGAGGCAGCAGUGAGGGAUUUUCCACAAUGGGCGAAAGCCUGAUGGAGCAAUGCCGCGUGGAGGAAGAC
rnacentral:rRNA from 1 species